rnacentral:misc_RNA from 1 species
AACCAUAGAAACCUGCGGAGUACCUGCGGAAGGAUCAUUAACAAAAAUUGUCCACGAUAAUGGAUAAUUUUUAUCCAUAUCCACCUUGUGUGCAUCAUUGAAGUGUUUGUUGGCAGGUUAGCCCACUUUUACCAGUGGGCUCAUGGAUUUUAGGCGCUAGAGUUUUUUAGUUGCCUGAUCGGCCUGCCAAUUUUAUUUUGUUUAAACGUGUCUAAAUUGUAAUGGUCUGAAAUUAUAAAC